rnacentral:rRNA from 1 species
GGCUCAGGACGAACGCGGGCGGCGUGCUUAACACAUGCAAGUCGAACGAGAACCAUUCUUUCGGGAGUGGGGAAAGUGGCGAACGGGUGAGUAACACGUAGGUAAUCUGCCCUCGAGUGGGGGAUAAUUCCGGGAAACUGGUUGUAAUACCGCAUAAUGUCUUGGUGGGACAUCCCACCAAGAUCAAAGGUUUCGACCGCUUGAGGAUGAGCCUGCGUCCCAUUAGCUAGUUGGUAGGGUAAAAGCCUACCAAGGCUACGAUGGGUAGCUGGUCUGAGAGGACGACCAGCCACACUGGGACUGAGAUACGGCCCAGACUCCUACGGGAGGCAGCAGUGAGGAAUAUUGCGCAAUGGCCGAAAGGCUGACGCAGCAACGCCGCGUGGAUGAUGAAGCACUUUUGUGUGUAAAAUCCUGUUGAGAGGGAAGAAAAACCGACCAUCCGGUUGGUCUGACGGUACCUCUAAAGAAAGCUCCGGCCAACUCCGUGCCAGCAGCCGCGGUAAUACGGGGGGAGCAAGCGUUGUCCGGAUUUAUUGGGCGUAAAGGGCGCGUAGGUGGGUUGGUAAGUGAGGGGUGAAAUCCUGAGGCUUAACUUCAGAAUUGCCUUUCAUACUGCCAGUCUCGAGUGCGAGAGGGGAAGAUGGAAUUCCUGGUGUAGCGGUGGAAUGCGUAGAUAUCAGGAAGAACACCGGUGGCGAAGGCGGUCUUCUGGCUCGUAACUGACACUGAGGCGCGAAAGCGUGGGGAGCAAACAGGAUUAGAUACCCUGGUAGUCCACGCUGUAAACUAUGAACACUAGGUGUUGGAGGAUUCGACCCCUUCAGUGCCGCAGCUAACGCGUUAAGUGUUCCGCCUGGGGAGUACGGUCGCAGGCUGAAACUCAAA